UACGUAGGAGACGAGCGUUGUCCGGAGUUACUGGGCGUAAAGGGUGCGCAGGUGGCGGCGCGCGUGGGGGGUGAAAUCGCCCGGCUUAACUGGGCGGGGGCCUUCCAGACGGCGUGGCUUGAGCAGCGGAGGGGGACGUGGAAUUCCGGGUGGAGCGGUGAAAUGCGUAGAUAUCAGGAGGAACACCGAUGGCGAAGGCAGGUCUCUGGGCUGACACUGACGCUCAUGCACGAAAGCGUGGGGAGCAAACAGG
rnacentral:rRNA from 1 species